AUGGUGGAAGAGCCGGAGGCUCUGUGUAAGAAUAAGACAUGGGUAUUAAUACCCCUUCCAACAGGAAAGAAAGCAGUCAGCUGCAAGUGGGUAUACAUAGUGUACACUGUGAAGCAAAAUGCAGAAGGAAAGGUUGAGAGGUACAAAGAAAGGCUUGUGGCGAGGGGUUACAGCCAAACAUACGACAUUUACUACGAUGAGACCUUUGCUCCAGUAGCAAAGGUGAACACCGUGAGGAUUCUGCUCUCCUGUGCAGCAAAUUUCGAGUGGCUUUUACACCAACUUGAUGUGAAGAAUGUCUUCUUGCAUGCGGACUUGUAG
rnacentral:rRNA from 1 species